rnacentral:rRNA from 1 species
UACGUAGGGUGCAAGCGUUAAUCGGAAUUACUGGGCGUAAAGCGUGCGCAGGCGGUUAUGCAAGACAGAUGUGAAAUCCCCGGGCUCAACCUGGGAACUGCAUUUGUGACUGCAUAGCUAGAGUACGGUAGAGGGGGAUGGAAUUCCACGUGUAGCAGUGAAAUGCGUAGAUAUGUGGAGGAGCACCGAUGGCGAAGGCAAUCCCCUGGACCUGUACUGACGCUCAUGCACGAAAGCGUGGGGAGCAAACAGG